rnacentral:tRNA from 1 species
UAUGAUAAGAAUUUGUAAAUAAGGAAAG